GCCGAUUUCUCCUUGGUUCAGUGAAACCCACUUGAUGUUCGUUUCAACUGUUUGAAUGCCUUGCUUGACGCUGUUUGAAUUUCCCAAAAUGAUGAAAUGAUCAUCCCGUAGUUGAAUCAGCUAAAACAGUCCAGCUUGUGUGUUUUGGCGAGUGCAGACGUAGCGGUACCAAGCGGGAAAGUAAGUCACUCCUAGCCUAUAUUCGGCAUAUUUUUAAAAUCAAUUGGCGGAAAAUCAUAAAGAUUUUACUUACGCAUUUCGAAUGUCAUCCCAGCGGUUGAUCAGAAAAUCCAGAGCAAUCUCGUUACCGAUAGGAUUAUUUGCAACGUUGUUGAAGACUGUGUUGACGUCCGAUGAUCGGAUGCCGGAAUUGGGAUCCAACAACAUUUCCAAUAAUCUAAGGAAACGUUUCUCCCGCCACUCGGUGAUUAUUGUGUUAACGUAAAUUUGAAUUCCAUAAUUACCCUGUUAAUACUGUGGCUUGUUUACUGGCGCACAUUGCCACAAGGUAGCCAGAGUCACCUUUGUUCUUGUACUGCUGGAAAGCGAAAUCGUAUUCGACCUGACCACCGUAUUCGAUGGCCGUGCGUAACACCGUCGAUUUUUCAUUCGGCGAAAUAAUCCUGAAUUUCGAACAGUUCGGGUUCUUAUCAUUCUCGUCCUUUAAAUUCUUAAUCUUAAAUUACUGGACAAUGUUGUCUGGCUGGGCCAUUAGAGUAGCGUAUGCGGCAAGCGAAUUUUGGACACAAUCCGUCACGCCAAGUCUACAAGCCCAAUUGACAGCAUCGAUGCGGCUCAGUUUGUCAAAGUGGGGAUUAGCCUGGGUUUCCUGGAACCCGAUGAAGGUGUAAUAAGGCUCGACAAGGCUAGUCAAAUAAUUCUGUCAGGCAAAUAUCCAUUCCGUUAGGUGAAGAACGAAAACUAUCAUUUUUUUUACAUGUCAUACCUUCCAGCUGGGGAAUUCGGCGAAAUUAUAAAGCAUAGUGUCCACAUAGUUGAACUCGGAGAGCACUGCAUGCCAUGGCACGUAUUCAAUCUCGUUUUUCAGAUACAGCGUAAGGUCAAAAGCCUGGGCGUAGGGAAGUAAUUCGAUCAAUGCGAAAUUAAACGCGUCAUCGAGAAGUUGAGCCCUGUUGUUAUCAGCAAAACGUUGAUGGUCUGCGAUGAGUUGGUCACGGAUCAAACCAUAGUUAACAGCGUCGUAGAGCACUCUGUAAUAAUCUAAAAAGUAAAGAAUGAAAAGAAGUUGCAGAUAUAGCCAGUUCUUGAUACUUACUUUGUUGUUCAACGUUGAAAAUGACCCAUUGAUUGGCGGCAGCUCCUAGAUUAGUUAACGGUUUGCUGACUUGACUUACUGGGAGCCAAUCUCUUUUCGCUGCUUGAGUGAAGUCACUGGUGUAGGUUAAGGGCACCCACCAUUGGUAGACGAUAGGAUCGGUAGAAUCGUUGCUUUUCCGGAGUAAAAAUCUCUCCUGUUGAUAGGUGUAAAAGAGGUAAUUAGAAACAGCUUGCACGUAUUCAAAUUUCUUUUCAUGUUUAUCUAACCUGUUUAACAUUAGCACCACCUAUUUGGUAAUCGCGUGUUACUGUAAUAAAGGGGAAGCCCAUUUUAUAUGUCCAAGUGUCCAUGAUCUCUUUGAUGGUUGCUGGAAGGACAACGUUCUCCAAGUCAACUUGAGUUUGUAAAGCUGCCCACAAGUCGUCUUGGUUUGCAUUGCCAUAAGCGCUACAAAGAAAGGUAACGAGUGAGCCCGCGCUGAAACACUUCGAAACCGAUAAAGUCUGCACACAUGCGGAUCACGCAAGAACCUUAAUAAAAGUAAAAUAUUUUACUUAAUAACAAUUUUUUUUUU